GGCCUUGUAGCUCAGCUGGCUAGAGCGUUGGCUGUAUUAAGGCCUUCCGCUUGCUGGCCUGAGUUCGAAUCCCACCAUGGCCG
rnacentral:tRNA from 1 species